CUAUCUGAGACCAAGGAAACUGCUCAAAGUCAGCUCUCCAUUGGAAUCGGCUUGCUGGCUGGAACAGCUGUUAAUCUUCUGACAUUACUUUGGGGAUCCUCUGUUUUAUUUAGCAGGCAUGACCUUGAAGAUUCUGCAGAUUCAACAAAUGCAAAACGCUUUAGCUUUAGUGGGUCAGUUGUCAAGACUGAUAUCCAAACCACCAUGCUGCAAGGAUCAUGGUUAUAUCUGUUAUCCCAAUCAUGAUUUUUCAGCCUUGGAUUCAGAAGAGAAAAUUGGACUAUGCAAAUCAAAAGCAUGAAUUGUCAAAUAAACAUUCAGAAAGCAACGCAACACGAAUAUUUUAUAAAGAAAAUGGUGAACCAGACACAGCUGCCUUUAUAAAGUU